rnacentral:tRNA from 1 species
UGGGAUGUAGCUCAGUUGGUAGAGUGCUUGCCUUGCAUGCACAAGGCCCUGGAGGGUUCAAUCCCAGCACCACAA